GAUGCCCGUCACAGGCAGGGCCUCGGCUUGGGUCAUGAUAGUACUUGUUGGAAUAUUCAUCCUAAAUUGCAUAAGCAGAAGAUAGAGGGAAAAAAGAGGGAAUCGACUAAAUAUGCAGAAGGUGACAAAAAGAAUGAAGAAGGAUAUUUUAAGAACAAUCAAAGGUAAAGAAAAAAUUAUAAAUAGAAGUGGUUAACUAAAAUAAAUAAAUACAAA
rnacentral:lncRNA from 1 species